rnacentral:rRNA from 1 species
UACGUAGGGCGCAAGCGUUGUCCGGAAUUAUUGGGCGUAAAGAGCUCGUAGGCGGUCUGUCGCGUCGGCUGUGAAAACUCGGGCUCAACCCCGAGCCUGCAGCCGAUACGGGCAGACUAGAGUGCGGUAGGGAGACUGGAAUUCCUGGUGUAGCGGUGAAAUGCGCAGAUAUCAGGAGGAACACCGGUGGCGAAGGCGGGUCUCUGGGCCGUAACUGACGCUGAGGAGCGAAAGCGUGGGAGCAAACAGG